GAUCCUGACGGUAGUCGUAUGCUCGUCUCCGAGACUAAGCCAUGCAAGUCCAAGUACACGUCCUUGAACGACGGAAAACUGCGAACGGCUCAUUAAAAUCAGUUGCGAUCUACUCGGCGUUCCGCGCCGCCGGAUAACCGUAGUAAUUCUAGGGCUAAUACGUGCGAAGCGCCCGAAGCCGCGAGGCGACGGGCGUUCUCGCCGGAUGUAGGAACCGACCCGGGGACCGCCGGGGCAACCCGGCGCCCCCGAGACGGGGCGAACCACGGUGAAAUGACGGAUCGUCGGCCCCGCGCCGGCGACUCGCCGAAUGAGUUUCUGACCUAUCAACUCGAGACGGCGGGGUAGAGGCCCGCCGCGGUAACGACGGGUAACGGGGAAUCAGGGUUCGAUUCCGGAGAGGGAGCCCGAGAAACGGCUACCACUUCCAAGGAAGGCAGCAGGCGCGCAACUACCCU
rnacentral:rRNA from 1 species